CCCCCCCCCCAAUAAUUGGCUACCAAUAAUUUCCAAAGGACUGACGCAAGUUUUGUAUUUUGCAAUAAAAAUAUAGUGAGAACCAGCAGAUUUUCUUUAAGGACCACCAGGGAAAAAAGAUUUCUAGAACUCUUUGGUCCAGUUGUCAAUGUCUAAAAUUAAACCAUGACAGCCAUGAAAUCAGAUUCUGUCAAUUCUUAAUGGACAGGUUAGUAUUUGAAACGGAUCAAUUAGAAAUGUUCAAAAUAAAGCCUGCAGUUCUUAUACAUGUAGGUCUGUCUUUAAAAGACAGGACUUCUUAUUGUCUGUCCAUCCCUCUGUCGUCAACACUUAAGACAUGAAUAACUCAAAAUCCCUUGCACCAAUUUUCAUGAAACUUUGGUGAAUUAUUUAUACUUAUUGACGUAAGUUCCCUUUCCAUUUUAAAACAUUUUGGAUUUCACGUUUUGGAGUAUUGUGACUUUAUUUAUAAAAAAGGGGGAUUUUCCAGUUUUAGGACAAUAAGUCAAAAUGCUUUCACCAAUUUUCAUGAAACUUUGGUGAUAUGUUUAUUUCUUUUAACUUAAGCUCCCUUUCGAUUUUUAUCUAUUUUUGACUUUUAUGUUUUCGAGUUAUGGGACUUUAUUCAUGAAAAUUAUUUAUGUUUCAUGUCAAUGGGUAUCAUUGUGUGCAUGUUUUUUUUUAGGAGGGGGGCGUGUAUUUGAGCAGUGCUCAUAGUAUUUAUUUCUAAUCGAUCAUAUAUAUUGAUUUAUUUUGAUUUGAUUUUAACGUUACUUUUAAGCACCGCUUUUGGGCUAUUUCAUGGCGGCCAGUUUUUAUUGGUGAGGAAACCAGAGUGCCCUUGGGAAAACCACCGACCUUCGAUAGGAAUAUAAACUGAUUUAAAGCAUAAAGACUAGCUAAAAGGAAGACUGGCACAUCAUGCACAUCAUGCUCAUGGUGCAGCUCUUUAUUCAUGUUAUUUUGAAUAUGAUUAAGCAAAUGUUCUAUGAAGGAAAUUCAGAUAUCAAAUUAGGGUUGCUGUAAUUUCUGUAUUUGAUAUAUUAUAUUUGUUUAUGUAUCUGUGUGAGAUUCAUUGUGAUUAAUCUGCUCUUUACGUAAAAAAAAGUAUCUAUAUGUAUUUAAUAAUUACUUUCUCUUAUUUUUAGUUGACCUGUUAAAUACAAGGUACAGUCAGUGCCAGUUCCACUUUGAUGAAAUAUUAAAAGCAACGGUUGGAAUUAGGAAAGCUUUAUUAUUUAAACAGGAAACAGAUAUGAAUGAAUGAAGAUUUGUAUCCCUCUUCGAUUCAUCUGAUAACCUGAUGAUUGAGCUGUCUUGCAAAAACAGUACCUAAGGAGUCAGAUGGGCUAGUGCAUUCAUUUGCAUAAUCUGGACUCAGUAACUGUUCAAGGCUUUACUCGAUACCUGAUUGUACAUUUACAGUUACUAUUUACAAUGAUUGAUGUGUAACCUAAAUUUCAUAUUGUUACACUUCUUCGUCACUGGUCAGAUAGAAUUAGACACAUCUCUGGAGAAGAAAAAAAUCUUUGUAACAUUCAAGACAGAAUUAAUGAAAAGCAUUAAGAACUAAUUCAACUAUAUGCUUGUAGUACAGAUGUAAACUUUUAUGAAAUGUUUCAAACUGAAGCAACACUUUAAAGCUUUUCGAAAAUAUUUUAAAUUAGGAGACGUAUUAGCUACAAUUCAAUUAUAAGAUGACACUGGGCAUUCUUAGUUGUUUAUUACUCAAUGAAUAGGUAGUUUAUAGCACAAGUUAUUGUGACCCAAUUUAUCUGUUAUAAUGAUAUAUACUUCUUUUUUUUUUAAAUUGCAUUAAUAUUUGUUUAUGAUCAAUAAUUCAGAAAAACAAUG